rnacentral:rRNA from 2 species
AGGAGUGGAGCCUGCGGCUUAAUUUGACUCAACACGGGAAACCUCACCAGGCCCGGACACCGGAAGGAUUGACAGAUUGAGAGCUCUUUCUUGAUUCGGUGGGUGGUGGUGCAUGGCCGUUCUUAGUUGGUGGAGCGAUUUGUCUGGUUAAUUCCGAUAACGAACGAGACUCUAGCCUGCUAACUAGGCGUAUUUCGACAUCCCAAAGGCCCGCCGGUUUAGGGUUUCGAUCCUUUUCCGCGCGCGGUUUUUACUGUCGGCGUACAAACAAUUCUUCUUAGAGGGACAGGCGGCUUCUAGCCGCACGAGAUUGAGCAAUAACAGGUCUGUGAUGCCCUUAGAUGUUCUGGGCCG